rnacentral:rRNA from 1 species
UACGGGGGGGGGCAAGCGUUGUUCGGAAUUACUGGGCGUAAAGGGCUCGUAGGCGGCCCACUAAGUCCGACGUGAAAUCCCCAGGCUUAACUUGGGAACUGCGUCGGAUACUGGUGGGCUUGAAUCCGGGAGAGGGAUGCGGAAUUCCAGGUGUAGCGGUGAAAUGCGCAGAUAUCAGGAGGAACACCGAUGGCGAAGGCAGGUCUCGUGGGCAUUAACUGACGCUGAGGAGCUGAAAGC